ACGAAAAAACGGAAUUUUAAAAGAAAUAGGAAUAACUUUAAAGUCAAUGUCACCGCGAAAAAGGGGUAUGUAUAAAAUUCAUCGUAAAGUUACUGCACAAUUGUGUAAAAUGAAAAAACAGCUUCAUGACAAAAGGAAUGCUUUGAAAAACUUAAAAUCUAUGUAUGACGACAAUGUUUUUGAAUGCAUUAAUAAUAAACUGAAUAGCAUUAUAACAAAUUUUAUCAAUUAUGAAAUGCAGAUCGCACUCCUGUUGGAAGAAGAUGAACAGAAGAGAAUAAGACUUUCGUUUUGUCGAUGUACAAACGGAAUCCUUGUCUCUACAAAUAUUUGUCCACCUACUUUCAAUUGUCAUCAAUCCGGAUACUAAAACAAGUUUUGUCAAGGAUUCCUUUUGACACUGGAAUAAAUGAACUCCUUCUAGAACAAUUAAAAAUAAAAAGCGAUGAAAUGGACGAACUAGAUCGAUAUUGCACUUUAGUAUUCGAUGAAAUAUCCUUAAGUAAAGGUUAUCAUUACGAAGCACAUAAAGAGCAGAUUACUGAAGAUUAUGAAGAUAGAUGAGUUGGGUCGAACUUCUAAAAACUGUUAAUCAUGCGCUCGUUUUUAUGAUUCGUGGCCUGAGAAGAUCUUGAAAGAGAUGGUAUCAAAGUAAAAGUAACAGUUUGCGACCAAGGAAACCACUCAAAGAAGAACCCUAUCCGAAUUGUGUGCAGAGAAUAAGAAGUUUCCAAAGAAGAUGAAAGGCUAAUAAAGAUUCGUUAUUUGCAACUCAACUGUUACAUAAUCAUCAAGUAUCAUUGGUUUAACAAGUUAUUGCAAAAUCAGAACUUGUAUGUCCAAAUAAUGACACAAGUGAUACACAAAAAACAUCAAGAGAAUGUAAAAAUUCUACUGAAGAAAAAGAUAUAACAUAUUACUACAC